GCGGGUGGGUUAUUAGGAAUUGCCGGCGGGUGCAGGUGAAAAAAAGCUAAUCCGCGCACCACAUCAGUUAAGGUAUUGGAAGAGGACGGAUGGCACGAGCCUGGAAAAGAGGUUUGUCCGAGCAGCGGGAGUCAGGAUCGGUGUAAGCGCGUGGUAUAUUCUGUUUAUUUUCGAGAGCAAUUAAAUCAUUUGUUUUUAUGGAAUUGCAUCCGAGUUUCAUUCGAGGCCAGCUCCCUCCUAAUUUGCGCCUUACAACCACCCACCUAUAUGGAUGUGUGCGCUGUCAUUAGGAAGCCUAACUGCCCGUGCAAUAAUUUGAUCUAACUAUGGCUAGGCUACAGCCGAAUUUAUGCCACUACACCUGUCAAUACAGUGUGUAACCCAACCAUUUUUGUAGGAGUUGGUAGUCUUUUCGAAAACAGCCUGUGUGAUUGAUGCCACCGAAGAGAAGAGGACAGGGGAGGAUGUUGCCGUGGAGACGUAGGUGUUGCUAGGGGCGAUAUCGUCAUUCCCUUGUUCAUCAUUUUUCCCAAGUCAAUUUCUCAUUUGACCAGGGCAACACCACCUGUACUCUUGACCAAAUAAAUAAUAGGAUUCAAUUUACUUAAAUGAUGACAGAUUAGACCUAUAAUUAGCCUACAAAUUGGUCUGACAGUUUAAUAUGAAUAUGUACCAUUGAUGUCACUUGUCACAAUGUGUCAUAAGCAAAUGAAUGUAUAUUUAUUGUAAAACUAAACUGAAGCAAUAUGGUGCAUGACAUUUACUGUUUUAAUGAAAAAUAGUCAUAAUCUCAAAACAUACAAUUUGGUACAAUUUCAACAACAUUUUGCUUGAUAAUACAUGCUCUUAAUUUUCCUCUUAUAGUCUUCUUCUAUUUGCCCCAGAACAUUUGUACUCUAUUUGGAAUCCAAUUUUAACAAGGCACCUAUCACAAGUUCUAAUAUAGGGCAUGCAAUCCCUCUCCCUGUCUCCGUCUCUCUUGCUUGAAGUUUGACCAGCUGCACUCUAUGACAAACAGCUAUACAGCAUGGCUCUGAUGUCAAUAAGCUAUACAUUUAAUUCAGCACUGUAGCUAACCGACAGGAUUCGACGUCAGACACGUUCUCCAUUUCUUCUACACCUAACUCUAUUAGUAGGAUUACCACAACAGAGCAGAGUGUCUUGUCUCUGGAGACAGAAGGGGCAAUUUCAUGCUUUGGCAGCUAGAAAUGCAUACAGUGAGCCAUCUCAUCUCUUGCACCUUUGACCUCCAACUAUCCGGACUGUCCACCUGGAGAAGUCCCAGACUUCAGGACCCAGUCAGUCGAAUCUGCAGCUGCUCCAUUGAUUGCAAUGGUACAUGGAUGAGUGGACGGAGUCUUCGUUAGUGAAAACCUACGCUAUUGGUUGUACCGGGACUGGAAGCACGGUCACUCUGCCCUGCUGAAAAUGGACAAAAGGAGAAUGAUAAGAAAACUACAAAUAUUAGAAACACCUUCCUGAACUGUUUCUUGAACUGUUCUUGAAACCGGUGAAAACCCCCAGAAACAACCAAGAAAUAGUGGAACCAUAAUACUCACUGUGAGGCAUAGGUCAUAUGUGUCGUUACCAAAACCUCCAUGAGCUGAAGGAGCAGCUGAUCGGUCCACAGCCCUGCCAGUCAUUGCCUUUGUUUUGUCCUGGAUGUGCAGGUAGUAGUACAGCAAGUCUCCCAGAGAGGCCAGCAGCAGCACUAACAUGAUGAUGGAAGCUGCAAUACCCCCUGUGUUGUCUCACAGUACUGACAUUGCAAUUUAUAACCCUGGCCACAUCUGCAGUCCUCAUGUCUCCUUGCAGCAUGCCUAAGGCACGUUCACGCAGAUGAGCAGGGACCCUUGGCAUCUUUCUUUUGGUGUUAUUCAGAGUCCGUAGAAAGGCCUCUUUAGUGUCCUAAGUUUUCAUAACUGUGAACUUAAUUACCUACCGUCAGUAAGCUGUUAGUGUCUUAAUGACCGUUCCGCAGGUGCAUGUUCAUUAAUUGUUUAUGGUUCAUUGAGCAAGCAUGGGAAACUGUGUUUAAACCCUUUACAAUAAAGAUCUGUGAAGUUA